rnacentral:rRNA from 1 species
AAUGAACGCUGGCGGCAUGCCUAACACAUGCAAGUCGAACGAGACCUCCGGGACUAGUGGCGCAUGGGUGUGUCACGCGUCGGAACCUGCCCUUAGGCUUGGAAUAACUCUCCGAAAGGGGUGAUAAUACCGGAAAAUGUCUUCGGACCAAAGAUUUAUCGCCCUUGGAGGGGCCCGCGUUGGAUUAGCUUGUUGGUAGGGUAAAAGCCUACCAAGGCGAGGAUCCAUAGCUGGUUAGAGAGGAAGCUCAGCCACACUUGGGCGGGGACGCGGCCCAGACUCCUACGCGAGGCAGCAGUGGGGGAUAUAGGACAAUGGGGGGAGUGCUGAUGCAGCAAGGCCGGGUGAGUGAUGUAGGCCUGAGAGAAGUAAAGCUCUUUUACCCGGGAUGAUAAUGACGGUACCGAGAGAAUAAGCUCCGGCUAACUCCGUG